GAGUUUGAUCGUGGCUCAGAAUGAACGUUGGCGGCGUGGAUUAGGCAUGCAAGUCGAGCGAGAAGGUCCUUCGGGACUGGAUAGCGGCAAACGGGGUGGUAAGGCGUAGGUGACGUACCCCGGGGACCGGGAGUAGCUGCGGGAAACGUGCAGGUAAUACCGGAUGACCUCCCGCGGUUGAAUUCCGCGGGUGCAAAUGGUGUGAUUCCUCCCUGGGAGCGGCUUACGUGAUACUAGCUAGUUGGUGAGGUAACGGCUCACCAAGGCGAAGAUGUCUAGGGGGUGUGAGAGCAUGGCCCCCACCACUGGGACUGAGACACUGCCCAGACACCUACGGGUGGCUGCAGUCGAGAAUCUUCGGCAAUGGGCGCAAGCCUGACCGAGCGACGCCGCGUGCGGGAUGAAGGCCCUUGGGUUGUAAACCGCUGUCAGAGGGGAUGAAGUGCGGGUGGUUCUCCCAUCCGUUUGACAGAGCCUCAAAGGAAGCACGGGCUAAGUACGGGCCAGCAGCCGCCGUAAC
rnacentral:rRNA from 1 species